rnacentral:lncRNA from 1 species
ACUCGGGAAUCAGUCUCCCUUCUCUCUCUGGCUCUCCCCGUCGAUCACUCUCUCUCCCCACCGAUCAAUACGUUAGCCUUCUCUGUGAUCAAGUCUCUCUCUCACACACGUAGAUAUGAAGAUGAUGGGAUGAUGCAUAUGUAGAGAUGAUGAUGCUUGUUAUGAUGUAAAUCUUCUUGAUUUUCAGGUGCGAAAUUUG